rnacentral:rRNA from 1 species
AACGAACGCUGGCGGCAUGCCUAACACAUGCAAGUCGAACGAGAUCUUCGGGUCUAGUGGCGCACGGGUGCGUAACGCGUGGGAAUCUGCCCUUUGGUUCGGAAUAACAGUUGGAAACGACUGCUAAUACCGGAUGAUGACGAAAGUCCAAAGAUUUAUCGCCAGAGGAUGAGCCCGCGUAGGAUUAGCUAGUUGGUGUGGUAAAGGCGCACCAAGGCGACGAUCCUUAGCUGGUCUGAGAGGAUGACCAGCCACACUGGGACUGAGACACGACCCAGACUCCUACGGGAGGCAGCAGUGGGGAAUAUUGGACAAUGGGCGAAAGCCUGAUCCAGCAAUGCCGCGUGAGUGAUGAAGGCCUUAGGGUUGUAAAGCUCUUUUACCCGGGAUGAUAAUGACAGUACCGGGAGAAUAAGCUCCGGCUAACUCCGUGCCAGCAGCCGCCGUAACAC